AUGAACGAGAGAGAAGAGAGAACAAAAA
rnacentral:sRNA from 1 species